rnacentral:rRNA from 1 species
UGAGGAAUAUUGGUCAAUGGACGAGAGUCUGAACCAGCCAAGUAGCGUGCAGGAUGACGGCCCUAUGGGUUGUAAACUGCUUUUAUAUGGGGAUAAAGUGGGGAACGUGUUCCCUUUUGCAGGUACCAUAUGAAUAAGGACCGGCUAAUUCCGUGCCAGCAGCCGCGGUAAUACGGAAGGUUCGGGCGUUAUCCGGAUUUAUUGGGUUUAAAGGGAGCGUAGGCCGUUUGGUAAGCGUGUUGUGAAAUGUAGGAGCUCAACUUCUAGAUUGCAGCGCGAACUGUCAGACUUGAGUGCGCACAACGUAGGCGGAAUUCAUGGUGUAGCGGUGAAAUGCUUAGAUAUGACGAAGAACUCCGAUUGCGAAGGCAGCUGACGGGAGCGCAACUGACGCUUAAGCUCGAAGGUGCGGGUAUCAAACAGG